UGGACAGCUUAUUGUAUUCGACUGUAUUCACGGCGUGAAACAGGGAUUAUACUGUUUUUAAAGGGAAAGUAAAUUAAUUAACAUAAUAGACUCCU
rfam:Nicotiana attenuata strain TT chromosome 8, whole genome shotgun sequence.